rnacentral:misc_RNA from 1 species
CUUAAGUGAUUUGGGGAUGUUGCUGGCCUCUUCUUUUCGAGGGGCAAAUGUGCACUCCCUGAACAAUUCACAAUUUCCAUCACACCCCUUGUGCACAUCUUGUAGGCGCCCACUCACCUCUCUUGGUCUAGGCGUCCUAUGUAUUCCUUCAUCUCACACUUUAUUGAAUGGUGCUCUUGAACGCAUCUCAUGGAUUAUUUGUAAUAAAGUAAUCACAGAAA